GACGAACGCUGGCGGCGUGCCUAACACAUGCAAGUCGAGCGUGAAGCUUAUGAACGAGCCUUCGGGUGAGUGAUUAAGUGGAAAGCGGCGGACGGGUGAGUAACGCGUGAGCAAUCUGCCUCAGGGAGGGGAUAACACAGAGAAAUCUGUGCUAAUACCGCAUGACAUAUCGGAACCACAUGAUUCUGAUAUCAAAACUCCGGUGCCCUGAGAUGAGCUCGCGUCCGAUUAGCUAGUUGGUGAGGUAAUGGCUCACCAAGGCGACGAUCGGUAGCCGGACUGAGAGGUUGAACGGCCACAUUGGGACUGAGACACGGCCCAGACUCCUACGGGAGGCAGCAGUGGGGGAUAUUGCGCAAUGGGGGAAACCCUGACGCAGCAACGCCGCGUGAAGGGAAGAAGGUCUUCGGAUUGUAAACUUUUGUCUUCCGGGACGAAUAAUGAACGGUACCGGAGGAGGAAGCCACGGCUAACUACGUGCCAGCAGCCG
rnacentral:rRNA from 1 species